AUUGCUUUGGCAGAAUUAGUGUAAUGAAUUUAGAAUUCAUUUAUGUAUAUUUAUAUACAAGUAAUA
rnacentral:tRNA from 1 species